AUUGAACGCUGGCGGCAGGCCUAACACAUGCAAGUCGAACGGUAACAGAAAGCAGCUUGCUGCUUUGCUGACGAGUGGCGGACGGGUGAGUAAUGUCUGGGAAACUGCCUGAUGGAGGGGGAUAACUACUGGAAACGGUAGCUAAUACCGCAUAACGUCGCAAGACCAAAGAGGGGGACCUUCGGGCCUCUUGCCAUCGGAUGUGCCCAGAUGGGAUUAGCUAGUAGGUGGGGUAACGGCUCACCUAGGCGACGAUCCCUAGCUGGUCUGAGGGGAUGACCAGCCACACUGGAACUGAGACACGGUCCAGACUCCUACGGGAGGCAGCAGUGGGGAAUAUUGCACAAUGGGCGCAAGCCUGAUGCAGCCAUGCCGCGUGUAUGAAGAAGGCCUUCGGGUUGUAAAGUACUUUCAGCGGGGAGGAAGGGAGUAAAGUUAAUACCUUUGCUCAUUGACGUUACCCGCAGAAGAAGCACCGGCUAACUCCGUG
rnacentral:rRNA from 1 species